UAACAUUGUGUGCACUUGCACGUGUGUUGGUGUACGUAUCCAUGCACACACACACACACACACACACACACAAAGCA
rnacentral:pre_miRNA from 12 species